CAGUAGCCGCGGGAAUACGGAGGGUGCAAGCGUUAUCCGGAUUCACUGGGUUUAAAGGGUGCGUAGGCGGAUCUGUAAGUCAGUGGUGAAAUCUCCAGGCUUAACCUGGAAACUGCCGUUGAUACUAUAGGUCUUGAAUUUUGUGGAGGUUAGCGGAAUAUGUCAUGUAGCGGUGAAAUGCAUAGAUAUGACAUAGAACACCAAUUGCGAAGGCAGCUGGCUACACAACUAUUGACGCUGAGGCACGAAAGCGUGGGGAUCAAACAGGAUUAGAUACCCCGGUAGUCCCUGUCCUUAUACC
rnacentral:rRNA from 1 species